rnacentral:rRNA from 1 species
UUAAGCGACUAAGCGUACACGGUGGAUGCCCUGGCAGUCAGAGGCGAUGAAGGACGUGCUAAUCUGCGAUAAGCGUCGGUAAGGUGAUAUGAACCGUUAUAACCGGCGAUUUCCGAAUGGGGAAACCCAGUGUGUUUCGACACACUAUCAUUAACUGAAUCCAUAGGUUAAUGAGGCGAACCGGGGGAACUGAAACAUCUAAGUACCCCGAGGAAAAGAAAUCAACCGAGAUUCCCCCAGUAGCGGCGAGCGAACGGGGAGGAGCCCAGAGCCUGAAUCAGUGUGUGUGUUAGUGGAAGCGUCUGGAAAGGCGCGCGAUACAGGGUGACAGCCCCGUACACAAAAAUGCACAUGCUGUGAGCUCGAUGAGUAGGGCGGGACACGUGGUAUCCUGUCUGAAUAUGGGGGGACCAUCCUCCAAGGCUAAAUACUCCUGACUGACCGAUAGUGAACCAGUACCGUGAGGGAAAGGCGAAAAGAACCCCGGCGAGGGGAGUGAAAAAGAACCUGAAACCGUGUACGUACAAGCAGUGGGAGCACAGAGCAAUCUGUGUGACUGCGUACCUUUUGUAUAAUGGGUCAGCGACUUAUAUUCUGUAGCAAGGUUAACCGAAUAGGGGAGCCGAAGGGAAACCGAGUCUUAACUGGGCGUUAAGUUGCAGGGUAUAGACCCGAAACCCGGUGAUCUAGCCAUGGGCAGGUUGAAGGUUGGGUAACACUGACUGGAGGACCGAACCGACUAAUGUUGAAAAAAUUAGCGGAUGACUUGUGGCUGGGGGUGAAAGGCCAAUCAAACCGGGAGAUAGCUGGUUCUCCCCGAAAGCUAUUUAGGUAGCGCCUCGUGAAUUCAUCUCCGGGGGUAGAGCACUGUUUCGGCAAGGGGGUCAUCCCGACUUACCAACCCGAUGCAAACUGCGAAUACCGGAGAAUGUUAUCACGGGAGACACACGGCGGGUGCUAACGUCCGUCGUGAAGAGGGAAACAACCCAGACCGCCAGCUAAGGUCCCAAAGUCAUGGUUAAGUGGGAAACGAUGUGGGAAGGCCCAGACAGCCAGGAUGUUGGCUUAGAAGCAGCCAUCAUUUAAAGAAAGCGUAAUAGCUCACUGGUCGAGUCGGCCUGCGCGGAAGAUGUAACGGGGCUAAAACCAUGCACCGAAGCUGCGGCAGCGACACUGUGUGUUGUUGGGUAGGGGAGCGUUCUGUAAGCCUGUGAAGGUGUACUGUGAGGUAUGCUGGAGGUAUCAGAAGUGCGAAUGCUGACAUAAGUAACGAUAAAGCGGGUGAAAAGCCCGCUCGCCGGAAGACCAAGGGUUCCUGUCCAACGUUAAUCGGGGCAGGGUGAGUCGACCCCUAAGGCGAGGCCGAAAGGCGUAGUCGAUGGGAAACAGGUUAAUAUUCCUGUACUUGGUGUUACUGCGAAGGGGGGACGGAGAAGGCUAUGUUGGCCGGGCGACGGUUGUCCCGGUUUAAGCGUGUAGGCUGGUUUUCCAGGCAAAUCCGGAAAAUCAAGGCUGAGGCGUGAUGACGAGGCACUACGGUGCUGAAGCAACAAAUGCCCUGCUUCCAGGAAAAGCCUCUAAGCAUCAGGUAACAUCAAAUCGUACCCCAAACCGACACAGGUGGUCAGGUAGAGAAUACCAAGGCGCUUGAGAGAACUCGGGUGAAGGAACUAGGCAAAAUGGUGCCGUAACUUCGGGAGAAGGCACGCUGAUAUGUAGGUGAAGUCCCUCGCGGAUGGAGCUGAAAUCAGUCGAAGAUACCAGCUGGCUGCAACUGAUUAUUAAAAACACAGCACUGUGCAAACACGAAAGUGGACGUAUACGGUGUGACGCCUGCCCGGUGCCGGAAGGUUAAUUGAUGGGGUCAGCGCAAGCGAAGCUCUUGAUCGAGGCCCCGGUAAACGGCGGCCGUAACUAUAACGGUCCUAAGGUAGCGAAAUUCCUUGUCGGGUAAGUUCCGACCUGCACGAAUGGCGUAAUGAUGGCCAGGCUGUCUCCACCCGAGACUCAGUGAAAUUGAACUCGCUGUGAAGAUGCAGUGUACCCGCGGCAAGACGGAAAGACCCCGUGAACCUUUACUAUAGCUUGACACUGAACAUUGAGCCUUGAUGUGUAGGAUAGGUGGGAGGCUUUGAAGUGUGGACGCCAGUCUGCAUGGAGCCGACCUUGAAAUACCACCCUUUAAUGUUUGAUGUUCUAACGUGGACCCGUGAUCCGGGUUGCGGACAGUGUCUGGUGGGUAGUUUGACUGGGGCGGUCUCCUCCUAAAGAGUAACGGAGGAGCACGAAGGUUGGCUAAUCCUGGUCGGACAUCAGGAGGUUAGUGCAAUGGCAUAAGCCAGCUUGACUGCGAGCGUGACGGCGCGAGCAGGUGCGAAAGCAGGUCAUAGUGAUCCGGUGGUUCUGAAUGGAAGGGCCAUCGCUCAACGGAUAAAAGGUACUCCGGGGAUAACAGGCUGAUACCGCCCAAGAGUUCAUAUCGACGGCGGUGUUUGGCACCUCGAUGUCGGCUCAUCACAUCCUGGGGCUGAAGUAGGUCCCAAGGGUAUGGCUGUUCGCCAUUUAAAGUGGUACGCGAGCUGGGUUUAGAACGUCGUGAGACAGUUCGGUCCCUAUCUGCCGUGGGCGCUGGAGAACUGAGGGGGGCUGCUCCUAGUACGAGAGGACCGGAGUGGACGCAUCACUGGUGUUCGGGUUGUCAUGCCAAUGGCACUGCCCGGUAGCUAAAUGCGGAAGAGAUAAGUGCUGAAAGCAUCUAAGCACGAAACUUGCCCCGAGAUGAGUUCUCCCUGACCCUUUAAGGGUCCUGAAGGAACGUUGAAGACGACGACGUUGAUAGGCCGGGUGUGUAAGCGCAGCGAUGCGUUGAGCUAACCGGUACUAAUGAACCGUGAGGCUUAACCUU